GACAGACUUUCUGAGGUUCAGGCCAGAAAAGUGGCGGACUUGGCCAGGAUCAGAGACAAGAGACUGCUAAAACGGGACGGACAGGGACAGCACAGUUCUAAGGAAGGGGACUUUGAAAGAUCAUCUUAACUUGGGCCUGGAAAUCUUUCAGAAGGGACCCUCACGGACAGGAAAAGACGCCAGGGAACCCAAGGGGAAAGGAGACGCGAGAGGAAAGGAGGAGUCCGAGUGGACAGCAGAGAGAGCUGCGGGCGAGAGUCCAGAUCGCUGUUUCCCCGCGCCAAAGACACUGUCCCGAUCCGUCCCGCGGCUACACUACGCGCAGUCGCGCAGUUGCAGACAAGGACCCCAGCAGGGACCUGGCAUCUCACAGGGCCAGCACCCGGCCUCCCUGCUCCUCACCGAAUGCGCGUGAGUUGCUCCACUCGACAGCGCCUUCACCGCCCGCUUGCAAACGCCACUACCGACAACUCAAUCGGGAGCAGGGCGGAGCCGAGGAGAGCUAGGCAGAUUCCGGAGUGGGAGGACUUUCAGGAGCCCCAGCGUUAGCACAGGCUCUCCAACCCAGACCUGGGAGGGUUUCAGUUCUCUCUAGGCAGCCACUAGGAGGCUCGAGAAGUGGGCGGGGAGACUCCAGUCUGAGUCCCACAGGAGUGCACUCCACUUUUCUGUGCACCUUGUUGAAUCCUCGUAAACCUGCCUUAACCUUCCAAGUGAUUACAGGCCUGUGUCACCCUGCCUGGCUUGGGUGGCUUUAUUUUCAAUUUUAAUGAAUCUCUAGGUUGGAGGGAUUAAAAAGAGCGGUUACACAUAACUAUAGUAGAAAAUCUCUUAUCUCUGUGAGUCUGGGUUUCCCCCUCUGUAAAAUGCUAUUCCCUUACUCCUUUGAUAGGAUUAUAACAUAAUCGAUCAUCAUCAUCAUCAUCAAAUGUUGCUCAUAGAGGGAAGUCAGUGGAGUUUAAGACAUGAGAUAUGCAUUUGAUGUUGGCCAUCUUCUGUCACUGUUCUAGCCAGAGCCUGUGUCCUGGCUACUCUAAUGAAAUAAACAGCCACUGCCUCUCAUCCUCCCAUAAAAUAAGAGUUAAAUUAGUAGUGACAAUCAGCCAAGUCCUGGUGGUACAUGCCUUGCCUUAAUCCUAGCACUCAGAGGCAAAGACAGAUGCAUCUCUGUGAUUUCAGAGCCAGCCUGGUGUACCCAGCAAGAUCCAGGACAGCCAGAGCUACAGGAUAGACACCUUGCCUCAAAAUUAAAUAGAUAAAUAAAUAUGUAGUGCUUUGUAUAGUAAAGCCUUUAUGUGUGGCUUCAAGUGAAGUGUGUCGUAAAGCCUUUGUGUCCAGCUUUGAGUGAAAUACUUCAGCAGAGCCUUUGCUAUGUCUGGAUUCAUUGGUAGAGGCUGAGAAAUUGCUUCCAGGGUGCUUGAACCUUGAAGAAAUGUCUCCCUGGAGAGUCUACACUUGUUACUACAUGAGAGCUUGCAGCUGCACAGACUUUGGUCCUAACACAUUCCUGGCCAACUUGGAGGUCUUACUUUUGAUUAUAGUUAGCCAUGGUCAAAAGGAACGGAAAUCUGUGUGGAUUGUCUGCUCUGCUCUCUCAGGCAGCAAGGUCAAGAUAACAUUGGUAGCUGGAACCUUUCCCAGCCUACUUAAUUUUGUGUAAGAGUGAAUAAAAGUCACUGGUGUAAGCUGGUUAGGGUCAGUCUUUUCCAAGAAGGCUUGAGCCCCUCUGCUCCUUCAGAAAAUGAAGGCUUUGCAUCUUAGCGAGCUUCUCUCUCCACUGUGGCACCUAUAACCAUCAAUCAAUAUAAAUAAGUAAGGGAAAGACAGAAAAAGGAUUUAUUUAAUGUGGUUACAUUCGGAAGAGACAUGACUAUGUCCCUUAGUCCAUCUUCAGGGUCCUACAGCAGGAUGACACUUAAGUAGAGGCCAGCAAUAAGCUUACCUAAACAGUCCAGCCAAGGCAUGAGGUGAGGUGUAGCCCACCCACCUCCCUACCUUCAGCUCUUGUCUUGACAGUAUGGCGGGAAAACAGACUUAGACAAGUCUCCCAUAUACAAGGUCCUCCUCUGGUUUUCCUCGGCCUUUGCUUCUAGGAUGAGAUUCUUGGAAACAUUCUAAUUUGUUUCAAGAGUCUGUUGGCCAGAGAGAAAGAUACAGAUGUCUCUUUAGAAUAUCAUUCCUGCCAGGCAGGCUGAAUCACAUAGACAAUGGGGUGGCAUGAAGAUCUCAGCAGGGAUGGCAGAAUCAGGACCAAGCCAUGCUGUCUCUAACAGCUAGACUGCUGCUUCGGGAACUAUGGAAAGAGUUUACCUUACUAUAUUGUAAUCCCAUCCAUGACACCUCAGGAAGCAACCUAUGAGCUCAUUUACU
rnacentral:lncRNA from 1 species